rnacentral:rRNA from 1 species
UAAUACCAGCUCUCCGAGUGGUAGGGACGAUUAUUGAGCUUAAAGCGUCCGUAGCCGGCCUGGCAAGUCUUCCGUUAAAUCCAGCGACUCAAUCGCUGGGCCGCGAAAGAUACUGCCAGGCUAGGGGGCGGGAGAGGCCGACGGAAUUCCCGGAGUAGGGGUGAAAUCCUAUAAUCCCGGGAGGACCACCAGUGGCGAAGGCGGUCGGCUAGAACGCGCUCGACGGUCAGGGACGAAAGCUGGGGGAGCGAACCGGAUUAGAUACCCGGGUAGUCCCAGCUGUAAACGAUGCGGGCUAGGUGUCGGGGCGGCCACGAGCCGCUUCGGUGCCGCAGGGAAGCCGUUAAGCCCGCCGCUUGGGAAGUACGGUCGCAAGGCUG